GCUGGGAUAAAAGUGAUCCAUACUGCACAGAAUAUCAGCAUGCUAAAGGUGAUAAAUUUGGCUUCAUUGAAAUUAUCAGGCAGUUUCCGAGCCAGAAAAGCAAGAAUAAAACAUAACAUGGCCAGAA